ensembl:lncRNA
CAGCAAACAAUGGCCCACCUCCCGUUUGUGUAAACAGAGGUUUAUGGGGACACAGCGGCGCUCAUGCAUUGUUACAUUGUGUGGGGCUGCCUGGGGGCUACAGUGCCUGUGUGCCCACACGUGAGAGUCAGGUGCCAGACCGUGGCUGGAGCAAAACCGUGCGCCCAGACCUGGGGUCCCAGCUGCGGCAGGGUGGUCGCUUCCUGGUCCGGGUUAAAAGGGUAAAGGGGAGCCUUCCGCGGGUGUUCACGGUUUUCAUACGCGGAGCUGGGACCUUGGGAGGUGGUUGGAGCGGCUGGGAGAACGCGCGCCCCGCGGGCUGCCAGCUUCCGGCAGAAGGUGCUGCGUUCUCCCCGCUCCGGGCCUUGGCCCGGGCAGGUGCCUCUGCGGAGACCUCCUCCACCCCAGCCCUUGUCGCCUCCACAGCUGCUCGCCCCUUCCAGGUCUCAGCCGAAGCUCCUCCGCAAGCCUCCUGGCUCGUCCCGGGGCCGGGUGCCCCGUUUCUCUGCCGAUCUGGAAGAGGUCUGUUCCCGCUGCAGAACAGGUGUUCCGCGUGCCGCCGGCGGCGGAACGCGCUCGCAGACCGGGCCCUGCACUGGCUCGGCUGCCUGGAAAUUGAUGGUCUUUCUUGUUUUUCUGGUGGGAACUGGGAGUUUCCCAGCAGAAGGUAACACAGCCUGUGGACUCUUAUUUCCUGAGAAGCCCUGGAUUUCCCCCCACAUUAGUCACCGGAGAAUGUAUAUUAUUUUAGCUCUCGGACUCCAACUUGGGUUUAGAUCACCGGAGGCGGAGUGGGAAAUUGACGGCUUAGGAGGGGCAGCUCUCCUUUCCUCUUCUGGAGGCGAUGUGGGGCUCCCUGAAGGCCCGGACGAGCCUCUUCCAGGUCCCGGCCCGGGCGACUUGCCGAGAGGGGUGGCCAAACCCUCCAUCUCUUGCAGGCGGAUGGGGUGAUGUAGAGGGAGGGCCUCCAGACGGCCUGGCUUCAGAGGAGCUCACAAGGGGUGGCGGCUUAUGGCAGGACCACCGACGCUGUGCCAGGCCCUGGUGAUGCCCUGGGCUGGGGGUAGUAGGCCACCCAGCUGUGACGGGUAGGGGACACAGCCGUGUACAGGCUCAGAAGAAGUGACAGCACACUCUUCAUAGAAGGGGGGGAUCCCCCAGGGUGUGGGGAGUUUUCCAGAUGGGAACAGGGCAUCAGGGCCAGUGAGAGCAAAGGCCCGGAGGGCAGAAAGGGCAAGAGUCCUCAUGGGGCUGGAACUGAGCCCCGGCCUCUCGCUCCCCAGCCGCCUGCCGAGCCCUCUGAGUCUGGCCAAGGGGCUGGCUGGCCUCGGAGGGAGGCCCCGGGCAGCCGCCCCUUGGGCGGUGGUGCAGGCUGGGACAAGGCAGUGAGCUCGUGCGUCUCCCCUUAUCUGAGGGGCAAGGCCAGGAAGAUUGGCGGGAGGCAGGAGGCAGCAGAGGGGCUGGGGGCCAUCAGAAACGACCUCGCCGCUGCUGGAUGUCCACCAGCUGUGGGAGCCAGGAGCGUGGCCCUGCCCGGGCUCUCGCUGCAGCUGGGCCCCUCCGCUCCUCUGAGCCCACUUCCCGUGGAGGAGCCCCGAGAUGGCUGGGAAGAGAUGGCCAGAGCUCCAGCUUUCUUGGCAGCCUGUGCAGGUGGAGCCCUGGAGACUACCCGAGAUGGUUGGUAGCGGGCAGGCCGGUGAGGCUUGACAGGAGUUCAUGAGGGCCCUGGAGCCAGAGUGCCCCGUUCAAAUUCCACAGUCAUCUCCUAACUGUGCGUCCUUGCGCCAGCUUCCCUGUUUGCAGUGGCGGGGGGCAGGGGGGCGCGCUGUUCGUAGCAGGGCGUCUCCCGGAGAGGGGUCCCUGGCUUACAUGCGAGACGCAGAAAUGCGGGGCACACGUGAGCCCUGGGUUUAAACCACGAUGAUCUGAUGAUUUGGGGCCCCUCUUUUGC